AUUGAACGCUGGCGGCAUGCCUUACACAUGCAAGUCGAACGGUAACAGGGAGCUUGCUCCGCUGACGAGUGGCGAACGGGUGAGUAAUAUAUCGGAACGUACCAUUCAGUGGGGGAUAACGUAGCGAAAGUUACGCUAAUACCGCAUAUUCUCUCCGGAGGAAAGCAGGGGAUCGCAAGACCUUGCGCUGAUGGAGCGGCCGAUGUCAGAUUAGCUAGUUGGUGGGGUAAAGGCUCACCAAGGCGACGAUCUGUAGCGGGUCUUAGAGGAUGAUCCGCCACACUGGAACUGAGACACGGUCCAGACUCCUACGGGUGGCAG
rnacentral:rRNA from 1 species